AUUGAACGCUGGCGGCAGGCUUAACACAUGCAAGUCGAACGAGUGGCGGACGGGUGAGUAAUGUCUGGGAAACUGCCUGGUGGAGGGGGAUAACUACUGGAAACGGUGGCUAAUACCGCAUACCAUCAGAUCGGCCCAGAUGGGAUUAGCUUGUUGGUGGGGUAACGGCUCACCAAGGCGACGAUCCCUAGCUGGUCUGAGAGGAUGACCAGCCACACUGGGACUGAGACACGGCCCAGACUCCUACGGGAGGCAGCAGUGGGGAAUAUUGCACAAUGGGCGCAAGCCUGUUGCAGCCAUCCCGCGUGUAUGAAGAAGGCCUUCGGGUUGUAAAGUACUUUUAGCGGGGAGGCGGUACCCGCAGAAGAAGCACCGGCUAACUACGUGCCAGCAGCCGCGGUAAUAC
rnacentral:rRNA from 1 species